UACGUAGGGGGCAAGCGUUGUCCGGAAUCAUUGGGCGUAAAGAGCGUGUAGGCGGCUUGGCAAGUCUGGUGUGAAAUCUUGCGGCUCAACCGCAAGCGGUCACUGGAAACUGCCUCGCUAGAGUCCGGAAGAGGAGAGCGGAAUUCCUGGUGUAGCGGUGGAAUGCGCAGAUAUCAGGAGGAACACCCAUGGCGAAGGCAGCAAACUGGGCAUCAACUGACGCUGAGGCGCGAAAGCGUGGGUAGCAAACAGG
rnacentral:rRNA from 1 species